rnacentral:lncRNA from 10 species
GGUGCACGCCUGUAAUCUCAGCUACUCGGGAGGCUGAGGCAUGAGAAUCAGUUGAACCCAGGAGGUGGAGGUUGCAGUGAGCUGAGAUCGCACCACUGCACUCCAGCCUGGGCAACAGAGUGAGACCCUGUCUCAAAAAAGGGAGGGAGGAAGGGAGGGAGGGAGGGAGGGAAACAAGGCUGGAAUUCAAUGAUAGAGGAAGAAAACGAUGCAAAAUGAAGUUGUAAAGCAACUAGUUGACAGAUCAGUAGGUCCUGAUAGGUCAAGGCAAGGAAUUAGAUGAUGAUGAUGAUGAUGGUGAUGAUGAUGAUGAUGAUGAUGAUGAUUAUCAUUAUUAUUUUGUAGAUGGAGUCUCGCUGUGUCUCCCAGGCUGGAGUGCAGUGGCGCAAUCUCAGCUCACUGCAACUCAAGUGAUCUCCUGACCUCAAGUGAUCCUCCUGCCUCUGCCUCCCAAAGUGCUAGGAUUACAGGCGUGAGGCACUGCGCCUGGCCUUAGGUAUUAUUUUAAGCGCAAUGAGGGGCUAGGGGAGCACUUUAAGAGAAGGGUGGCAUGAUUUGUCUUACAUUUUAAAUAAAUCAGUCAGGCUGUUGUGUGGAGAAUAGGUUUUAGGGUGGCAAGAAAGGAAGCAGAAAAUUAGGAAGCUAUUAUAGGACUGCAGGCAAGAAAUGACAAGUGACUUCAUCUGGGGUAGUAGGCGAUGGACAGAUCUGGGAUGUGUCUUAGAUAUAGCAUCGGCAAGACUUACACUUUAACCUGAGCGCAGUGGCUCACACCUGUAAUCUCAGCACUUUGAGAGGCAGAGGCAGGAGGAUGGCUUGAGUCCAGGAGUCUAGAGACCUGCCUGAGCAACACAGUGAGACUCUGCAUUUCUUAAAAAUAAAAAAAAAAAAAUUAGCUGAACGUGGUGGCAUGCACCUGUGGUCCCAGUUACUCAGGAGGCUGAGGCAGGAGGCUCACUUGAGCCCAAGUCAAGGCUGAAGUGAGCCAUGAUCACACCACUGCACUCUAGCCUGGACAACAGUGAAACCCUCAAAAUAAAUAAACAAACAAAUAACUUCUGUCUUUCAAGUUUGUUGGGAGGAUAAACAAGCUAUAGGAUAAGUGAAAAACACUUAGCCCCAGCACCUGACACAUAUCAUAGGCAAAAGGGUAACAGCCGGCUUCUCUUCCCUUUCACAGUCCUAUGGGGAUUUUAAAAAAAUAGCAUCUCUUGGUAUACUGUCAGUGUUUGUGGUGAUGGACUACCACCUGUGUAGACCUCUCAGCAUGUAUUAAUAAAUACAUUCCUCAAAAACGGACAUUUGGGAGCCGGGCAUGGUGGCUCACGCCUGUAAUCCCAGCACUUUAGGAGGCCGAGGUGAGCAGAUCACCUGAGGUCAGGAGUUCAAGACCAGCCUGGCCAACAUGGUGAAACCUUGUCUCUACUAAAAUACAAAAAAUUAGUCUGGUGUGGUGGCGGGCGCCUGUAACUCCAGCUACGCAGGAGGCUGAGACAGGAGAAUCACUUGAACCUGGGAGGCACAGUUUGCAGUGAGCUGAGAUUGUGCCACCACACUUCAGCCUGGCUGACAGAGUGAAUGAGACUCCGUAUCUCACACACACACACACACACACACACACACACACACACACACACACAUGCAUUUGAUAAGCACUUGCCAAUUAACCUUAUACAUCCAGAAAUAACAUCACCAAAUUAACUACCAUUAUUCUAAACAUAAACAAUUUUGGGUCUUUUAACUGAUACUUCAAAAUCCCUACUUACUUUUCUCAUAUUCCUUCCAAUAAUUUGUUAGGAGGUGGACCUGUCAAUAGGAAGGACAAAAAAUUAUUAUCACCAAUACUCUCAAAGUAAUCGUCACUUUGGGUAGAAACCCCAGUACACUCGGGGAAUUUUCAGAAUUCAAUCAAGCCCAUCCAACUGUCUCCAAGUUUUGACACUGCCUAAAGGACUCCUCACAGUUGGUUUAGCCCAACCCAGUAAGAAACAUUUAACAAAUAAUUAAAAGUGCUGUGCCAGGGUGGUUGUGUUGCCGAGAUACGGUUGUUGGUAGCUGGGGAGUGGCAGGCAGAUCCAGCCAAGAAUUGUGCCCUAAGCCAGGAGCUCUGAUGAUGAAAUCACAGGAUGUUUGAGUUUGGGGCUUGAUGGUCAUCCCAGGUGGUUUCCUAUCGUGGAAAACAUUUGAUGUAUAAGAGUAAGGCUCAGCCAGGCGCGGUGGCUCAUGCCUGUAAUCCCAGCACUUUGAGAGGCCGUGGAAGGCGGAUCACCUGAGGUUGGGAGUUCAAGGCCAGCCUGACCAACACGGAGAAACCCCGUCUCUACUAUAAUAAUGGCAGUUGCCCUGCCAGCCCGGUCACCUGUCACUCCCUCCUCCGACUUCUCCCGCACCGCGGCCGCAAUCCAGCCCGGACACUCUGAGGGCUCUCUCUGAGCUGGGCACGGUCCUCGCUGCUCGGCCGAGUGCAGCCCCCUCACCUCAGUGCGACUGAGACAAAGCAAGGGUCCCACCGGCCCCUGUCCCCUCCCUAAGGCGCGCCCUCAGGGCGGGAGACCCACCUCAGCCAGCCCCCCAGCUCAGUGGUCCAGAGGCUCGGGUCCCGCGCUGACGCCCAGCGCCUCCCUCCUCCACAGCCGUCACUGACCGCUCGCUCGCCUCUAGCCUGGACCCCGCUGUCCAGCAGUCCCGGCUGGCCCGCGCCGCGCUCCUCCCGCUCUGGCAGUCCUGGCACUGGUAGGACGCCCGCAGCCUUCCACCCUAGAGGGCGCCGGGCGGGCACGCGCUGGGGGCGACGGGGGUGGGGCGGGGGAGGCGGGGCGACGCAGCGCGGGGCGGCCGGCGGUUGGUGCUCGCAGCCCGCGCGCCCGCCUUCCCGGCCACGUGACCUUUGGGCCCCGCCCAGAUCGGGAGUUCCGCGCGGACUCUUGGUGCGACCCCGUCCCAC